AACGAACGCUGGCGGCAUGCCUAACACAUGCAAGUCGAACGAGACCUUCGGGUCUAGUGGCGCACGGGUGCGUAACGCGUGGGAACCUGCCCUUAGGUUCGGAAUAACUCUCCGAAAGGGGUGCUAAUACCGGAUAAUGUCUUCGGACCAAAGAUUUAUCGCCUUUGGAUGGGCCCGCGUUGGAUUAGCUAGUUGGUAGGGUAAAAGCCUACCAAGGCGCCGAUCCAUAGCUGGUCUGAGAGGAUGAUCAGCCACACUGGGACUGAGACACGGCCCAGACUCCUACGCGAGGCAGCAGUGGGUAAUAUUGGACAAUGGGCGAAAGCCUGAUCCAGCAAUGCCGCGAGAGUGAUGAAGGCCUUAGGGUUGUAAAGCGCUUUUACCCGGGAUGAUAAUGACAGUACCGAGAGAAUAAGCUCCGGCUAACUCCGUG
rnacentral:rRNA from 1 species